GCCGGAAGCUGAGAGCGAGGAACGUGAACUUGGAGCGGUUUUCUAGAGUUUUGGAAGGUGCGAAAUGUUUGCGAAUUCGCAUGUCAAAAACAGCCAACAAUACAGGAAGUCGGAGGAACAAAAAGCCAAAGAACCAAAUAAGUAGACGACAGUGAACAUCGGUGGAAUGAGCUGAGAGCUUCAACGCGAUUGAACUUGCUUUGCUUCUGUUUCUUGACAGGGCACUGUUGAGCAGGUGUUAGCAAAGAAGCUCUUUAAGAAGGCUGAACCAUUGGCACAACUCAGAGGGAUGUGAAAAAGAGAGAGAAAACGAAAAAGAGAGAAGAGAGGAGUUAAGGAAGAGGAAAGUAACUGGUGUAAAGUGGAUUUCCUGGCUGGAAGACAGCUGGUCAUUCCCAUGGGACUCAUUACAGUUCUGACAAUCCAGUGUUACGCACACAGCCACAUGUACAUGCAAAACUAGGUCUCUGUUUGCCAUGAAUGUAAAGCCAUGCUAAUAAAUUUUCUGACCAACA